GUCUACGGCCAUACCACCCUAAAAGCGCCCGAUCUCGUCUGAUCUCGGAAGGUAAGCAGGGACGGGCUUGGUUAGUACCUGGAUGGGAGACCCCCUGGGAAUACCAGGUGUUGUAGGCC
rnacentral:rRNA from 1 species